UGGGGAAUAUUGGACAAUGGGCGCAAGCCUGAUCCAGCCAUGCCGCGUGAGUGAUGAAGGCCCUAGGGUUGUAAAGCUCUUUCACCGGUGAAGAUAAUGACGGUAACCGGAGAAGAAGCCCCGGCUAACUUCGUGCCAGCAGCCGCGGUAAUACGAAGGGGGCUAGCGUUGUUCGGAUUUACUGGGCGUAAAGCGCACGUAGGCGGACUUUUAAGUCAGGGGUGAAAUCCCGGGGCUCAACCCCGGAACUGCCUUUGAUACUGGAAGUCUUGAGUAUGGUAGAGGGGGGUGGAAUUCCGGGUGUAGAGGUGAAAUUCGUAGAUAUUCGGAGGAACACCAGUGGCGAAGGCGGCUCACUGGACCAUUACUGACGCUGAGGUGCGAAAGCGUGGGGAGCAAACAGG
rnacentral:rRNA from 1 species